AAAAUCCAAGUCAAACCAAGUAAGUCCUAAAUAGUCACUAUCCACUUAAAUUUUAGUACCUCAAAAUUAAAAUCUUAAAUCUAGUACUCAAUUGAGACUAUAGUACUCUUUACUCAACAAACUAAAAGCAAUGUUUGUAGACUCAAAAGCCAAUAAUGACCUCGCCAAAAGAACCAAAGAGCUUGAUGGUUGAUGGUCAGUGCAUGUCCUAAAGCAAGUACAACACAGUGAUCAUCAGUACCUGAGAUUUUAAGUUUAAUUAAAUUCUAAUUAGUUCAUAUUUUCAACUACGUUUAAUUUUUAAAAGAAAAUGAAUGAAGCAGCAGCAUGUUAUCAUUCUCGCAAAAGAAAAAAAAAAAAUCAAUCAAUAUCAA
rnacentral:lncRNA from 1 species